AUAAAACCACCAGCAAUGAAACCCAUGACAAAAAGUAGAAUCAGUGACCACAAUAUUGGCUUUGGGAAGUUCUUUCGGAAAGAAAAGUCAUCUUCUUGGCUAAAGACAGUAACUGCUUGAUUGUGAACAACAGCAGAUCCUGGGAUUUUCAUUGAUCCCAUAGAUUCUAAAGGGCCUGAUAGCUUUCGAGGCACCCCAGAUGAAUUUAGGGGACCUGAUGAAAUAGGCCCAGAUGUAAUGAGACCAGUUGCAGGAAGAACAGGAGGAAGGGGGCCAGAGUUUUGGCGGCCAGAGGGAGUUACUCCACCAGACUGAGGGCCAGAUGUCUUUUUUACAGGAUCUCCAUGCCUAUUUAAGGGUCCAGAAUUAGAUUUCUUUAAUGAAGCUGAACCAGACACGCCUCCAGAAGAUGCAGCACCCGAUGUGGUAUAGGCAGCUCUAGCAGCUGCAUUAGGCAUGAUUGGUCCUGAAUGAGAAGCAGCACCUCCAAAUGAUCCUGUCCUUGAAGGAGCACCAGCUA
rnacentral:misc_RNA from 1 species